rnacentral:rRNA from 1 species
GAUGAACGCUGGCGGCGUGCCUAAUACAUGCAAGUCGAGCGAACGGACGAGAAGCUUGCUUUUCUGAUGUUAGCGGCGGACGGGUGAGUAACACGUGGAUAACCUACCUAUAAGACUGGGAUAACUUCGGGAAACCGGAGCUAAUACCGGAUAAUAUUUUGAACCGCAUGGUUCAAAAGUGAAAGACGGUCUUGCUGUCACUUAUAGAUGGAUCCGCGCUGCAUUAGCUAGUUGGUAAGGUAACGGCUUACCAAGGCAACGAUGCAUAGCCGACCUGAGAGGGUGGUCGGCCACACUGGAACUGAGACACGGUCCAGACUCCUACGAGAGGCAGCAGUAGGGAAUCUUCCGCAAUGGGCGAAAGCCUGACGGAGCAACGCCGCGUGAGUGAUGAAGGUCUUCGGAUCGUAAAACUCUGUUAUUAGGGAAGAACAUAUGUGUAAGUAACUGUGCACAUCUUGACGGCACCUAAUCAGAAAGCCACGGCUAACUACGUG